rnacentral:rRNA from 1 species
CACGCAGGCGGUGACUUAAGUGAGGUGUGAAAGCCCCGGGCUUAACCUGGGAAUUGCAUUUCAUACUGGGUCGCUAGAGUACUUUAGGGAGGGGUAGAAUUCCACGUGUAGCGGUGAAAUGCGUAGAGAUGUGGAGGAAUACCGAAGGCGAAGGCAGCCCCUUGGGAAUGUACUGACGCUCAUGUGCGAAAGCGUGGGGGAGUAAAACA